rnacentral:rRNA from 1 species
GGCUUAGAGUUUGAUCAUGGCUCAGGAUGAACGCUGGCGGCGUGCUUAACACAUGCAAGUCGAACGGAGUGCUCAUGACGGAGGAUUCGUCCAACGGAUUGAGUUACUUAGUGGCGGACGGGUGAGUAACGCGUGAGGAACCUGCCUCGGAGUGGGGAAUAACAGACCGAAAGGCCUGCUAAUACCGCAUGAUACAGUUGGGUCGCAUGACUCUGACUGUCAAAGAUUUAUCGCUCUGAGAUGGCCUCGCGUCUGAUUAGCUAGUUGGCGGGGUAACGGCCCACCAAGGCGACGAUCAGUAGCCGGACUGAGAGGUUGACCGGCCACAUUGGGACUGAGACACGGCCCAGACUCCUACGGGAGGCAGCAGUGGGGAAUAUUGGGCAAUGGGCGCAAGCCUGACCCAGCAACGCCGCGUGAAGGAAGAAGGCUUUCGGGUUGUAAACUUCUUUUCUUAGGGACGAAUGAAGUGACGGUACCUAAGGAAUAAGCCACGGCUAACUACGUGCCAGCAGCCGCGGUAAUACGUAGGUGGCAAGCGUUACCCGGAUUUACUGGGUGUAAAGGGCGUGUAGGCGGGAUUGCAAGUCAGAUGUGAAAACUAGAGGCUCAACCUCUAGCCUGCAUUUGAAACUGUAGUUCUUGAGUACUGGAGAGGCAGACG